ACACCCGAGUAAUUGCCGCCGAUCGCACGGCCUUCGAGCCGGCGACACCUUCACUGAGUUUCUGAUCUAUCAUGCUGACGACGGUUGGUGCUAUGCCAACCGUGGCGUUAACGGAUAACAGAGAAUCUGGGUUCGAUUCUGGAGAGGCCGCAUGAGAAACGGCGACCACUUCUAAGGAAGGCAGCAGGCACGCAAAUUACCCACUUCGGACACCGAGAGGUAGUGACGAACAAUACCGAUGCGGCGCACUUCGUGUCGCCGUAAUCGGAAUGAGUACACUUGAAAUCCUUUAACGAGGAUCCACUGGAGGGCAAGCCUGGUGCCAGCAGCCGCGGUAAUUCCAGCUCCAGCAGCGUAUAUUUAUAUUGCUGCGUUUAAAAAGCUCGUAGUUGAAGCGUCAGACGCGGGAGGGCGGACGGCCGCACUGGUCGCUCUCGCCCGACCGAGCCAGGCGCAGAGGGCGCGCGUCGCUUGCACUUCGCCGUGUGAGCGCGCCGCCGCUGCACGUUCACCUUGAAGAAAUUGAACCGCUUAGAGGGGGCGAGCAGCUUGUACAGCUCAGCAUGGUAUGAUGGAACAUGGGCUCGUACUCAUUUUGUUGUCUGGUUAAUUCCGAUAACGAACGAGACUCUUGCCUGCUAAAUAGACGGCGCCGACUUCCGUCGGCGGCCGUUCGCUUCUUAGAGGGACAAGCGGCUUUUAGCCGCGUGAAGCAGAGAGCAAUAACAGGUCAGUGAUGCCCUCAGAUGUUCGGGGCCGCACGCGCGCUACACUGUUUGCAUCAGCGUGUUUCUCCCGCGCCGGCUGGCGUGGGCAACCCGUUGAACCGCAAACGUGCUAGGGAUCGGAGAUUGCAAUUGUUCUCCGUGAACGAGGAAUUCCUUGUACUGGCGAGUCAUCAGCUCGCGGGGAAUCUGUCCCUGCCCUUUGUACACACCGCCCGUCGCUACUACCGAUUGAGUGGUUUAGUGAGGCUCACGGACUGCGCGCGGCACACGGCGCCCUCGGGCGUCGCGCCGCGAUGCCGGAAAGUGAGACGAACUUGAUCACUUCUAGGAAGUAAA
rnacentral:rRNA from 1 species